GAUGAACGCUGGCGGCGUGCUUAACACAUGCAAGUCGAACGAUGAAGCCCAGCUUGCUGGGUGGAUUAGUGGCGAACGGGUGAGUAACACGUGAGUAACCUGCCCUUAACUCUGGGAUAAGCCUGGGAAGCUGGGUCUAAUACCGGAUAGGAGCGCCUACCGCAUGGUGGGUGUUGGAAAGAUUUAUCGGUUUUGGAUGGACUCGCGGCCUAUCAGCUUGUUGGCGAGGUAAUGGCUCACCAAGGCGACGACGGGUAGCCGGCCUGAGAGGGUGACCGGCCACACUGGGACUGAGACACGGCCCAGACUCCUACGGGAGGCAGCAGUGGGGAAUAUUGCACAAUGGGCGAAAGCCUGAUGCAGCGACGCCGCGUGAGGGAUGACGGCCUUCGGGUUGUAAACCUCUUUCAGUAGGGAAGAAGCGAAAGUGACGGUACCUGCAGAAGAAGCACCGGCUAACUACGUG
rnacentral:rRNA from 1 species